UUCUUGCGCUAUAUAUCCUUGUUAGAGAGCGAGAUGUAUUGUUUUUGAGGAGGCAUAUUUGAAAGCUAUAGAAAGCUUUCUGUUAUGAGAUAAAAAGAAUAUUACAUAAUCCACAAUUAACCAUUCAACUAACAAUAUUCAUUAUUUUCUAUCAAAUUUAACAAAUGUAAUAUACAAGAGUCAGCCGAUUAAACAAUUCAGGUUAACAAGGAGAGUUUUUUUCCUCUCUCUCUUCUCUCACCUCUAUCCUUCAGAGAGAGCACUUUUUCUCCCUUGUGUAAAUUUUCCGAUCAAUAUCGGAAGUUUUCUUCCGUUUAAACGGUUGUCUUCUACAGAGCUAUAACUCCUCUUACAUGAGGUAGAGAUGAUGGAUACUAGGUCUUGAGCUAGAGACGAUCGGAGGCUUCCUUCUUCUAGUGGUUAAAGAAUGUUCGACCAUCUGGAAUUUUGUUGGAUUUAUGUAGAAGACUUUACAUGAAGUUUUUAACAAGGAUGAUGGAAAUCUGGCGAAAUUUCAUAGUUCAACGGAUCUUUGAUUUUCCCGGCGGAGCAAUGUUCCAGAGACGUUCUCAACAGUGCUUCUCCGCAACAUCCUUAGUUUCAGCCUAAGCCUUACACGUGUAACACACGUGGUUUGUUUGUACACAUUGUUAUCUCUUAAAUUUAAUGGAUAUGUGUUGGGCUUAAAUGUAAGGGCUUUAGGUUUAAACCUCAUGUAAUUUGCCUUUAUGGGCUUGAUGAAAUUAAAAGACGACAAAAAAAAA